GGCAGAUGAGCAUGGAGUGGGAUUUCUCCAGUUGCAGGGCAAGACGGAGGCCGCCUGGUGACAGCGUGCUGGUGGCAGGGAAACUGAGCAUGGAUUUCCUGCUGCAGUGAAUGUCCUUGAGUGCCUGUGUUCAUUGCUGUGCAUUUGGGAGCUGACUGGAGGCCUCCAGCUGGAAUCGAUGGGUCAGAGUAUGCAUGUUGCAGAGUUUAACACAUGCUGUCCCGCUGCCCCAGGGGGGCCUGCUUCCCCCACACACUUUCACCAGCAUUAGAUUUCACCUUUCUUAGUUUUUUUCUUAAUCUGUUGGGUGAAUAAAGCUUGUCUUAUC